rnacentral:rRNA from 1 species
UACGAAGGGGGCUAGCGUUGUUCGGAAUUACUGGGCGUAAAGCGCACGUAGGCGGAUUGUUAAGUUAGGGGUGAAAUCCCAGGGCUCAACCCUGGAACUGCCUUUAAUACUGGCAAUCUCGAGUCCGAGAGAGGUGAGUGGAAUUCCGGAGUAGAGGUGAAAUUCGUAGAUAUUCGGAGGAACACCAGUGGCGAAGGCGGCUCACUGGCUCGGUACUGACGCUGAGGUGCGAAAGCGUGGGGAGCAAACAGG